AGAAUCAACGCUGGCGGCGUGCCUAACACAUGCAAGUCGAACGAGAAAGUGGAGCAAUCCAUGAGUAAAGUGGCGACCGGGUGAGUAACACGUGACUAACCUACCUUCGAGUGGGGGAUAACCUAGGGAAAACCUGGGCUAAUACCGCAUAACAUCUUUGGAUCGGAAGAACUGAAGAUCAAAGGAGCAAUUCGCUUGAAGAGGGGUCGCGGCUGAUUAGCUAGUUGGCGGGGUAACGCCCACCAAGGCUUAGAUCGGUA
rnacentral:rRNA from 1 species